rnacentral:tRNA from 1 species
GGCGCAUUAGCUCAGUUGGUUAGAGCGACGGAAUCAUAAUCCGCAGGUCCGGGGUUCAAAUCCCUGCGUCGCUACCA